rnacentral:rRNA from 1 species
GGGAUAUUGCACAAUGGGGGGAACCCUGAUGCAGCGACGCCGCGUGGGUGAAGGAGCGUUUCGGCGCGUAAAGCCCUAUCGGCAGGGAAGAAGGAGGACGGUACCUGACUAAGAAGCCACGGCUAACUACGUGCCAGCAGCCGCGGUAAUACGUAGGGGGCUAGCGUUAUCCGGAAUUACUGGGCGUAAAGGGUGCGUAGGUGGUUUCUUAAGUCAGAGGUGAAAGGCUACGGCUCAACCGUAGUAAGCCUUUGAAACUGGGGAACUUGAGUGCAGGAGAGGAGAGUGGAAUUCCUAGUGUAGCGGUGAAAUGCGUAGAUAUAUGGAAGAACACCAGUGGCGAAAGCGGCUCUCUGGUCUAUAACUGACGCUGAGGUUCGAAAGCGUGGGUAGC